ensembl:snRNA U1 U1 spliceosomal RNA
GUACUUACCUGGCAAGGGAGACACCAUGAUCACCAAGGUGGUUUUUCCAGGGCAAGGCUUAUCCAUUGCACUAAGGAUGUGCUGACCCUUGCAGUUUCCCCCAAAUGUGGGCAUCUCAGCUGCAUAACUUUUGAGGUAGUAGAGGGGUGGGAGGGAAACUAUGUUCACAUUUUCCUCCA